rnacentral:rRNA from 1 species
UCUCUCCUACGGGGGGCAGCAGUGAGGAAUAUUGGUCAAUGGGCGCAAGCCUGAACCAGCCAAGUCGCGUGAGGGAAGACGGCCCUACGGGUUGUAACCCUCUUUUGCCGGGGAGCAAGCCUGAGCACGUUUGCCCAGGCGGAGAGUACCCGGAGAAAAAGCAUCGGCUAACUCCGUGCCAGCAGCCGCGGUAAUACGGAGGAUGCGAGCGUUAUCCGGAUUUAUUGGGUUUAAAGGGUGCGCAGGCGGGCUGUUAAGCCGGCGGGAAAAAUUCCGGGCUCAACCCUGUCGAG